AUGGCUCCUUCUCUGGCCGAGCAGCAGCAGCAUGAGGUUAGGAUGGAGGAUGGCAGGUGCCGCAUCGCCAUCGCGGACUUCCCUGGCGGGCCCGGCACCUUCGAGGCUACGGCCAAGUUCUGCUACGGGUCGUGUCGAGCUCACGCCCUGGAACGUCGCGCUGCUGCGGUGCGCGACGGAUUGCGUGGAGAUGAAGGAGGAGCACAUCAAGGACAACCUGUCCGCGCGCGCCGAGGCCUACCUCCUGGUUCGGCGCAACAACGGCGACGGCUGCCGGAUCCGGCAAGGGGUGCCGCCCCCUCCCCCUGA
rnacentral:rRNA from 1 species